rnacentral:rRNA from 1 species
GACGAACGCUGGCGGCAUGCUUAACACAUGCAAGUCGAACGAUGAGGCGCCAGCUUGCUGGUGUGGGUUAGUGUCGAACGGAUGAGUCUCACGUGGGUAACCUGCCCCUCACUCUGGGCUACGCCUAGGAACCUGGGGCUAAUACUGGAUACGACCGAACCCGGCAUGGGGGGGGGGUGGGAAUGUUUAGUGGUGUGGGAUGGAAUCGUGGCCUAUCAGCUGGUUGGUGGGGUAGUGGCCUACCAAGGCGACGACGGGUAGCCGGCCGGAGAAGGCGACCGGCCACAAUGGGACUGAGACAAGGCCCAGAAGCCUACGGGAGGCAGCAGUGGGGAAUAUUGUACAAUGGGCGGAAGACGGAUGAAGCGACGACGCGGGAGGGAGGACGGCCUUCGGGGUGUAAACCUCUUUUACCAGGGAAGAAGAUAAAGUGACGGUACCUGGAGAAGAAGCACCGGCUAACUACGUG